rnacentral:rRNA from 1 species
AGAGUUUGAUCCUGGCUCAGGAUGAACGCUGACAGAAUGCUUAACACAUGCAAGUCAACUUGAACUUCGGUUUGGGUGGCGGACGGGUGAGUAACGCGUAAAGAACUUGCCUCACAGCUAGGGACAACAUUUGGAAACGAAUGCUAAUACCUGAUAUUAUGAUUUUAGGGCAUCCUAGAAUUAUGAAAGCUAUAUGCGCUGUGAGAGAGCUUUGCGUCCCAUUAGCUAGUUGGAGAGGUAACGGCUCACCAAGGCGAUGAUGGGUAGCCGGCCUGAGAGGGUGAACGGCCACAAGGGGACUGAGACACGGCCCUUACUCCUACGGGAGGCAGCAGUGGGGAAUAUUGGACAAUGGACCAAGAGUCUGAUCCAGCAAUUCUGUGUGCACGAUGAAGUUUUUCGGAAUGUAAAGUGCUUUCAGUUGGGAAGAAAAAAAUGACGGUACCAACAGAAGAAGUGACGGCUAAAUACGUGCCAGCAGCCGCGGUAAUACGUAUGUCACAAGCGUUAUCCGGAUUUAUUGGGCGUAAAGCGCGUCUAGGUGGUUAUGUAAGUCUGAUGUGAAAAUGCAGGGCUCAACUCUGUAUUGCGUUGGAAACUGUGUAACUAGAGUACUGGAGAGGUAAGCGGAACUACAAGUGUAGAGGUGAAAUUCGUAGAUAUUUGUAGGAAUGCCGAUGGGGAAGCCAGCUUACUGGACAGAUACUGACGCUAAAGCGCGAAAGCGUGGGUAGCAAACAGGAUUAGAUACCCUGGUAGUCCACGCCGUAAACGAUGAUUACUAGGUGUUGGGGGUCGAACCUCAGCGCCCAAGCAAACGCGAUAAGUAAUCCGCCUGGGGAGUACGUACGCAAGUAUGAAACUCAAAGGAAUUGACGGGGACCCGCACAAGCGGUGGAGCAUGUGGUUUAAUUCGA